UAUAGAGCUUCCCAUGGCGCCUGUUUAUCAAAAACAUGGUUUUUUGUGAUUAUAAAAAAUUUGGUCUGCUCACUGCUAUAGGUAAAUAGCCGCAGUAUAUUGACUGUGCUAAGGUAGCAUAAUCAUUUGCCUUUUAAUUGAAGGCUGGUAUGAAUGAUUUAACGAGAUAUAAUCUGUCUCCAUAAAACAAUUUGAAAUUGAUUAAUUGGUAAGAAGGCCAAUAUAUAUCUGGGGGACGAUAAGACCCUAUUAAGCUUAAUUUUUGAAUUUUACUGGGGCGGUAGACUAAGAUUUCGAUCUUAGUUAGUUAGGAUAAAUUGUAAGGACCCAAUAAUAUUGAGUGUUAGAUGAAGUUACUAUAGGGAUAACAGCUUAAUUUUUUUAAAAAGUUCUUAUUUUAAAAAAAGUUUGUGACCUCGAUGUUGAAUUAAAGGUUCUGUUUGGUGAAGUAGCUGGAUGAGAAGGUCUGUUCGACCUCUAAGCUU
rnacentral:rRNA from 1 species